UACGUAGGGGGCAAGCGUUGUCCGGAUUUAUUGGGCGUAAAGAGCGUGUAGGCGGCUGGGUAGGUCCGUUGUGAAAACUCGAGCUCAACCUCGAGACGCCGAUGGAAACCCUCCAGCUAGAGUCCGGAAGAGGAGAGUGGAAUUCCUGGUGUAGCGGUGAAAUGCGCAGAUAUCAGGAAGAACACCCGUGGCUAAGGCGGCUCUCUAGUACGGUACUGACGCUGAGACGCGAAA
rnacentral:rRNA from 1 species